CGGAGGAAAAGAAACUAACAAGGAUUCCCUAGUAACGGCGAGUGAAGCGGGAAGAGCUCAAAUUUGUAAUCUGGCACCUUCGGUGUCCGAGUUGUAAUCUCGAGAAGUGUUUUCCGCGCCGGACCGCAUACAAGUCUGUUGGAAUACAGCGUCAUAGUGGUGAGAACCCCGUAACUGAUGCGGAUGCCCGGUGCUUUGUGAUACACUUUCGAAGAGUCGAGUUGUUUGGGAAUGCAGCUCAAAUUGGGUGGUAAAUUCCAUCUAAAGCUAAAUAUUGGCGAGAGACCGAUAGCGAACAAGUACCGUGAGGGAAAGAUGAAAAGCACUUUGGAAAGAGAGUUAACAGUACGUGAAAUUGUUGGAAGGGAAACGCUUGAAGUCAGACUUGCUAUUUGGAAUUCAGCCGCAAGGUGUACUUUUCAAUUCGCAGGCCAGCAUCAGUUUUCGGGGGUGGAAAAGGGUAGAGAGAAGGUAGCAAUUUCGGUUGUGUUAUAGCUCUUUGCUGGAUUCAUCCUUGGGGACUGAGGAACGCAGCACGCUUUUUGCAAGGCUUUCGAGCUUUUCGUGCUUAGGAUGC
rnacentral:rRNA from 1 species